rnacentral:tRNA from 1 species
GUCUCCGUAGCUCAGUGGUAGUAGCGAGAGAUUGCAGCUUAGUUAUCUCUAGGUCAGGCGUUCGAACCGCCUCGGGGACU